GGAACUGGGCCACACAGCAGGAGAUGAGCAGCGGGUGGGCGAGCCAGCGAAGCUUCAUCUGUAUUUACAGCAGCUCCCCAUCACUCGCAUUACCACCUGAGCUCCACCUCCUGUCAGAUCAGCAGUGGCAUUAGAUUCUCAUAGGAGCAAGAACCCUAUUGUGAACUGCAUAUGCGAGGGAUCCAGGUUGCACGCUCCUUAGAGUAUCUAAUGCCUGAUGAUCUGUCACUGUCUCCCAUCACCCCCAGAUGGGACCAUCUAAUUGCAGGAAAACAAGCUCAGGGCUCCCCCUGAUUCUACAUUAUGGUGAGUUGUAUAAUUAUUUCAUUAUACAUUACAAUGUAAUAAUAUUAGAAUUAAAGUGCACAAUAAAUUUAAUGUGGUGCUGAAUCAUCCCAAAGCCAUGCCCCUUACCCCAGUCCAUGGAAAAAUUGUCUUCCACAAAAUUGGUCCCUGAUGCCAAAAAGGUUGGGGACUGCUAAGGUAUACUACCAAAGUGAGCACAUGCUGUUGGAAAAAUGGCACCAACAGACUUGCUCAGUGCAGAGUUGCUGCAAGUCUUCUGUCUCCAAAAACCACAGUUUGUGUGAGGCGCAGUAAAGCAGAGCAUGAGAAAAUGAGAGUGCCAUCAAGAAAAGCCACGGGCUCCACAGAGGGCAGUUCCGGGCUGCCACUCAUCUAUGUCUUUACGUAGGUGGUGGUAACCCGAGUAUUUGCUUUCUAAUUGUCAAACUGCAUAUAUCUUUACUAAAUUUAUUUCACAAAAAUAAUUUUUUAAAAUUCCAGAUUAAAAACUCAAGAUGUGAAUGCAAAAGCGCAUAGAAGAAAAUGGUGUACUUGUGGCCUGAGGAUUGAGAAGAAUUAAAGUCAUGAAAACCAAAAACUAUUUUAAAAGACUAGUAAAUUCAACAUUACAAGGAAAAACAUACAUUAAAAAAAACACAAACUGAAAAGCCAAACCCAGAUUGGGAGAAAAUAUUAGCAGUGCUUGUAACUGACAAAGGAUUACUAUGCGGAAUAUUUUAUAAGGAGAAACACACACACACACAUCCAAAAUUUUAAAUGGACAAAGGAAAUGAACAGGCAGUUCACAAAAGGGGAACCUCAAAUGCUGACUAAAUGUAAGAAAACAUGCUCACAG
rnacentral:lncRNA from 10 species